rnacentral:lncRNA from 1 species
ACCUGUCGUCAAAACUUGAUUGGCAACCAAAUGACAAAGUUGCCCAAACAGGCAUCGGAUGGUGAGAGCAAUGUUGCAGUUGAUCCAUCUGUUUCUAAGUCUUCUGACAUUUUCUAUUCCAGCCUUCUUACACAAAAUUUCUACUGUUGAAGUCAUGGAGGAAUUCAGUAUCAAAUUGGGUGGAGAACUGACACAUAAGUAGUUUUUUUUUCUCCCUUUCGUCCUGUCCAAUCAAAUUGGCACAUUAACAUACCGAGAUCAGAGCAUUAGAGAAAUACAAAUCAUGGCUCAAUUCAACUCAAGAAAUCCUUCUCCCUACUAGUUGAGUUUCAUACAUGAAUAUUUGUCUUCAUUCAUCGUAGCACAAUGAUAGCGAUAAGUGGCAAAAGUCCACUAAGGUUUAUAGGAGAUGUGGGAAGGAUAUGUCGAAUGCCCAGGCAUUGAUUUGGCAUGCUUUUGAUGACAAGGAACCAACUUGGGAGUUGGCCUGAAUCCUAUGGAGUUUAUUUUCUGAUUUCUGUCGGCAGGGGUAUUUUAGUAAUUUGAAUUAGCUGUAGGAAUUUUAUGUUUACAGUAAUUUUUGUUUAGUAGUUAUUCUUAGUAAUUAGUAAUUUGGUUGUUAUAGGGAAUAAGAAAGCUUAGCCUUCUAGCUUUCUAGUUAUAAUUCUAUUCUAGUUAGGAAUCCUAAUUAGGAUUGGAAAGGGAUUUGUGUCUAUAAAUAUCAACUUCUCCACAAAGAGAAGGCAGUUUUUGGUCAUUAAUAAAAUAUUCCUGUAGACUUAACGUCUCCCUUAGGGCUGUGUGAUGCAUCCCAACUUUAGGUGUGAGGCCUAAAGAUUCCUAGGAGUGAUUCCUAGAACUACCAACCAGUUUUACCUUCUUAAGCAUAAUCUGCCAGCUAUUUUAAGUUGCUAUUUUAAGUUCGGUGAUAUUCAAUAUAUAAGCCCUUCUACAACGCUGUUGUGCCUACCAAGUGUUCGUGCUGCGUCAAUUUUGGUAAUCAGAGCAAGGCUUUCCCAUGACGACAAGAAGUGGGUUGAAUUUUAGAGGUCGAUACACAGACAAGGAACGGGAUAACAUCAUUAAUCUUCUCUUAGGGAGGGUUGCUGUGUUAGAAGACAAAAUCUUUAAUACCGAGCAACAGCAAAUCCCUGAAUCUGGAGGCAACGGUGAGCCCCGAUCUGGGGACAAAAACAAUGGAAAGGAACCUGAGCAUCUCGAACAGCCUGAACACAUAAUCAGGAAACAAUCUAGUAGGAGUGAAAAUAGAAUAAAUCAAUCUUUUGGAAGGCCACAAGCUUCUCUUUUUGACAUGGUUGAUGAGAUUGUUCAAUCAGCAAGGCAAGGAAGACAAGACUCUUAUGAUUUUGCAGGAGACAUCACAAAAAAGGUAAGAGUAGAUAUCCCUGAUUUCGAUGGAAGAAUUGAUCCUAAAGUCUUUUCUGAUUGGCUCGCUACUUUGGAACGCUAUUUUGACUGGUAUGAUAUGACUGAUGAGAGAAAAGUUAAGUUUACUAUCAUGAAACUUGUUGGAAAAGCCCAGGUGCGGUGGACAGGAGUCGAGCAUGAUUUUCGACUUGCUGGACAACUAGACUUGAUGUGGGAAGAGAUGAAGCUGCGUUUGAAGAGAAAGUACGUGCCUCUACACUAUGAAGCUGACCUUUUUGAUGACAUGACGAGCUUAAGGCAAGGAGGAAUGACAGUUGCUGAAUAUAUGAAUAAGUUUGAGGAGCUGAAAAUUCGCUGCGGAGGCACCAAAAGUUCAGCACAAACUUUAUCCAGAUUUAAGUUGGGUUUGAGACCUGAAAUUCGCAAAGAAUUGAUGGGACGGGAUAUCUACACAGUUGACAAUGCAUUCCAAACAGCUCUUAGACUUGAAAAGAGCCUGCAGCAGCCACCACUUAAGAGGAUCAAUACUGAAGGUGGGGAGGAAAUUCCUAAAAGAUUCACUGCAAACGGCAAGCCAUAUAGAUCAGUAGCAGCUCAAGCAACUUCCAAGCCUGCGGAGACCAAGACUAAGACUUUCACAAUCGAUGAAAGAAACAAGAACAAAGAUGGAUGUUUCAAGUGUGGUUUGAAGGGACACAUGGCAUGGGAGUGCCUGAACAAGAGGAACUUGCACCUUGGCGCCAAUUUCAGAGAUAAGGAAAAUCUAGAGGUCGAGGAAGAUGAAGGUGCUGAUUAUUUGACUGAGAUAGCGCAACUAAUGUUGAUGAUUUGGAAGACGAAGAAGAAGACACGUCUUAUCUCUCGGUUGUGAGGCGUCUCCUUAGUGCACCAAAGUCACAAAAGGAAGACUGGCGAAGAACUUCAAUCUUUCAAACCUUAGUGUGCUGUGGGCAAAAAACUAGAAAGCUAAUUAUUGAUGGUGGCAGCAGCAUGAACGUGGUUUCAGAAUCUACCAUACAACGGUUAAAUUUGCCUACAGAGCCACAUCUUGAACCUUACAAGGUUGCUUGGAUCAACAGUAGCUCUAUACCGGUAACGAGACGUUGCUUGGUGUCCAUUAAACAUGGACCUUACAGCGAUACUAUAUGGUGUGACGUUAUUCCAAUGACCGUUUCCCACAUACUUCUUGGUCGACCUUGGCUAUAUGAUUGAGAUGUGAAUCAUAAUGGAAAGUCAAAUACUUACUCAUUCAAGUUUAAUGACCAGCAGAUUGUCUUAAAGCCUAUGAGUGCUGAAACUAUGAAGAAGUUUCAUGAGAAGAAACCAACCAAACAAGAGAAGCCAGGAGUUAAUGAAGUGAUCGAGACAAGGAAGAAACCUCUUCAGAUUUUGAGCAAGAAGCAAUUUGAAAGGGAGAGCAAGGAGCAAGGAGUUAUUAUGGUAUUAGUCUUCAGAGAGGUGAAAAUUUCAGCAGUUGUCAACUCUGAAGAAGUGCCUCCAGAAAUUGUCAAAUUGCUGUCCGAUUUUUCUGAUGUAGCUCCUGAAGAUUUGCCUCAUGGACUACCACCUAUGCGUGAUAUCCAGC